rnacentral:rRNA from 1 species
AUUGAACGCUGGCGGCAGGCCUAACACAUGCAAGUCGCACGAGUGGCAGACGGGUGAGUAAUGUAUGGGAAACUGCCUGAUGGAGGGGGAUAACUACUGGAAACGGUAGCUAAUACCGCAUACCAUCGGAUGUGCCCAGAUGGGCUUAGCUAGUAGGUGGGUUAACGGCUCACAUAGGCGACGAUCCCUAGCUGGUCUGAGAGGAUGACCAGCCACACUGGACGUGAGACACGGUCCAGACUGCUACGCGAGGCAGCAGUGGGGAAGAUUGCACAAUGGGCGGAAGACUGAUGCAGCCAUGCCGCGUGUAUGAAGAAGGCCGUCGGGUUGGAAAGUACUUUCAGCGGGGAGGAGUUACCCGCAGAAGAAGCACCUGCUAACUCCGUGCCAGCCGCCGCGGUAAUUC